AAGUAAUUAAUUAAUUUAUUAAAUAUCAUUUACUUAAUAUUUUUAAUAUUUUGAUGUUAAGUAAUUAUAUACAAUAUUAUUAUUUAACUACUAUAAUUACUUUUAUUCCUAUUAUUCCCAUCUAACUACCCAAACGUUAUUUUUCCUAUUCUCGAAUAUAACCCACUUUUCAUCCAAACGUAAAAUUGGUUUUAUUCCCGUUUAUCCAAAAAUUUAUUCUCGAACCAAACGGGUAAGCUAAAAGAAUAAAUGGGCCAGGUUUGGGCUUUGUGAAUGAUGAAUAAGGAAUUAUGAACAGCCUAUAGGCACGCAGUGCAAAUCGCAUGAGGAUAGUGUUAGCUUAAAGGCACUAACAUUCUGCUUCCUAAGUCAUGUUAAAAAUGACAGGAGGCUGAGCUGGACUUACUCACGUUUGAAAUUGUGGGAUGUCGGGUUGUGUUGAAUCUGUAAGAUAUGAAUCCCAAGAAUCUAAAAAAGGUAAAUAACACCUAGAGGGCGGUGAAUAGGUGUAAACGGUAAAAACAAAUAAACUCGAUGCAAAUUAAAAGAGAAUGCGGAAACUAAAAUUAACACACCGAGAUUUAACGUGGGAAAACUUCAAUCCGGAGAGAAAAAUCUACGGGGGCGAUCACACAAAGAAAUCUACUAAGAAAACUUGAGUACAAGUGAUUUAAUGAAAUACACGACUCAAUUUACCGAAUCCUCAUUGUAGAUUGUCUUCGCCGGUCCUCGAUCGCUUGGAAUCCUUCAACCGAUUACGCCGCAAGUCCUUGCAGCAAACACGCCUCGACUCCACGAAACGCCCACCGAAUCCACGGCCUUCACACGCAAUCUUUGCGCAAAUCCUCCAUCCAGA
rnacentral:lncRNA from 1 species